UUUUAUUCUUUUUUUAAUAACUAUAUAUUAUUUUGUUAAUAUUAACAAAUUUUUUCGUUUAUUAAAAUAAAUUAAAGAAUUUGAUUUUGGUUUAUCAUUUCUAUAUUAUUAUAAAAAUUGCAUGAAGAUUUUAGUGUGGUUAAAAACAUCAUUAAAAAUGAUGUCUAAUUUAUAAAAAUAUUAAUUAUAAUUAUUUUAUUCUCAGCAUAGAUUAUUGAUUUAUUGAUAUACAAAAGUGUGAAUUAGUUAUAAUAUUAAAUUCUGAUUAAUGUUUGUGCCAGCUUUCGCGGUUAUACUUCAAGAAUAAGUAGAAAAAUUGAGGAUUAGUUAAAUGUAAUUUUAUAUUAUAUAUAUAUAUUAAAAAGUAAAAUUAAUUUGAUUUUUUAUAUAAAAAUAAAAAUUGAAAUUGAAGCUAAUAAUUCUUGGGUUUAAACUAGGAUUAGAUACCCUAUUAUUCCAUGAUAAAAUUUAUAUCCUUAGUUAGUAAUAGUUAUUUACUUAAAAUCUAAAAAAUUUGGCGGUAAUUUAAUCUUUUCAGAGGAACCUGUUUUUUGAUCGAUAAUCCACGAAAUAUCUUGCUUAUUUUAAUAGAGUUUGUAUACCGUCAUUAUCAGGUAAUUUUUAAAAAAUUAAUUACUAAAAAAAAUAAUUUAGAUAAAUUAGAUCAUGGUGCAGCUUAUAAAAAAGUUAAAAUGGGUUACAAUAAAUUAUUAUUAUACGGAUAAAUAAAAUAAUAUUUUUUUAGAAGGAGGAUUUGAUUGUAUUUUAAAUUUAAUAUGUUUAAAAGAUAAUAGCUCUAAAUUAUGUACAUAUCGCCCGUCGCUUUCAUUUAUAGAUGAAAUAAGUCGUAACAUAGUAAGUGUACUGGAAAGUGCCC
rnacentral:ncRNA from 1 species